rnacentral:misc_RNA from 1 species
AAAUGCGAUAAGUAAUGUGAAUUGCAGAAUUCCGUGAAUCAUCGAAUCUUUGAACGCACAUUGCGCCCUCUGGUAUUCCGGGGGGCAUGCCUGUCCGAGCGUCAUUGUGAACCCCUCAAGCACGGCUUGUGUGAUGGGCCCUCCCGCGUCUUGAUCGUCAAGACGGGCCCGAAAUGCAGUGGCGGCUUCGCGGUUAUCCGAUCAGCCAGAGCGUAUGGGGACUCUCUCUCUGUCACACGCCCGCGGCGCGGACCGACGCCUGUCGACCUUUAUUCAUCUUUUCUCGGUUGACCUCGGAUCAGGUAGGGAUACCCGCUGAACUUAAGC